rnacentral:rRNA from 1 species
UGCAGUCGACGGUGAACUUGGGAGCUUGCUCUCGGGGGAUCAGUGGCGAACGGGUGAGUAACACGUGAGUAACCUGCCCUUGACUCUGGGAUAAGCACUGGAAACGGUGUCUAAUACCGGAUACGAGCUUCAGCCGCAUGGCUAGGAGCUGGAAAGAACUUUGGUCAAGGAUGGACUCGCGGCCUAUCAGCUAGUUGGUGAGGUAAUGGCUCACCAAGGCGACGACGGGUAGCCGGCCUGAGAGGGUGACCGGCCACACUGGGACUGAGACACGGCCCAGACUCCUACGGGAGGCAGCAGUGGGGAAUAUUGCACAAUGGGCGCAAGCCUGAUGCAGCAACGCCGCGUGAGGGACGAAGGCCUUCGGGUUGUAAACCUCUUUUAGUAGGGAAGAAGGGAGCUUGCUCUUGACGGUACCUGCAGAAAAAGCACCGGCUAACUACGUGCCAGCAGCCGCGGUAAUACGUAGGGUGCAAGCGUUAUCCGGAAUUAUUGGGCGUAAAGAGCUCGUAGGCGGUUUGUCGCGUCUGCUGUGAAAACUGGAGGCUCAACCUCCAGCCUGCAGUGGGUACGGGCAGACUAGAGUGCGGUAGGGGAGAUUGGAAUUCCUGGUGUAGCGGUGGAAUGCGCAGAUAUCAGGAGGAACACCAAUGGCGAAGGCAGAUCUCUGGGCCGUAACUGACGCUGAGGAGCGAAAGCAUGGG